AACAAAAAACAAAAAACUGGAAAGUCUGAAAACUACAGAGUUUAGAUAAUUCAGACUUCAGGCAAGGGGUUGGGGUGGGGGGGGGCAGGGUGAACAGGAAGUGAGGUUUUAUCUUUAGAAAUCUCCAAAUACGCCCAUUCUACCUCCAAGAAUUAGUCAUCUCUAUUUUAAAGAGUUUAAAACUAAACUGGACCCAAAGGGAGGUGGGGGCUCAGCUGUAGCAGAAGUGAUUAUAUUUUCCAAGAAUUCCUGAAUCUGAGGAACCGCUAGGACACUAAAAUGGGUAAUCAAGAGUAUGAGACAAUUCUGUUUCUCAUUUGCCUGUGUUACAAGGAAGGUGUUUAGAAUAUAGUCAGAUGUGGAACUCAGUGCACUGUGUAGGUUUAGGAAUGAAAAAAUUCAGGGUACACUGAUGAGGAGUCUUGUUAUAAGUUAACUAGAGUGUUGUCUAGGCACUUAGAAACUGGGCUGAUUGGAAGCCCAGGAGGGACGGAUUGGCCAUGAUUACUUUUUAAUGCAAUAUAUGUGGGGCUGUGUUACUGUUUGAUUUGCAGCUGUUAAAUUUUAUUUAGCUCUGCAGGGCAUAGAUUUCAUCAGGCUAUGUUUCAUCAAAGCUGUUUAAAACUUACCCUGCCCAGCCUUCCUCCCUUAAAUUUUCUCACUUCCCUUUCUCUUUCUCUGAAACAGUAACUAAACUGCUUCUUUCAGUUUGCAGAACUGUAUAAAGAACAAUUUGCUAUCUAUGUUCUCCAUAUCCUGAGAUGAGCAGUUAUAAAAGGAGUUCAAGGGGUUAUUACUUCUGAUUCCUUGGAGGAGGUAAGAAUGAUUUGCCUGCCCACCAGCUGAUGAAACAGAACCAUAGCAGGAAAAUGGAUGAACAUCCUUAGAGGAAAACCUUUCUAAUAAAACUAAAAUUUGCCAAAUACUGGAGUAGAGGGAAGGAGUCCCUUAGGCUGGGGGAUGAAGAGGGUGACUUAUGGAAGUUCCUUUCCAAACUUUUCCCCUUUCUCAUCCUAUCCAGAUCAGACCCUCCUACUGAAGAUGGUAUGUGGAAGACAAAAGCUCAUCCUCGGGAAGGUCUCUUUGCAACUGGCACCCAGGAACCACAGAAUCAGCAGCUGCAAUGCAGGCACCAGAACGAGUAAACAGGGUGAGAAAGAGGAAAGCAGUUUCUGACAUCUGGGAAAUGGCCUGACACAGCUGGCCUUUGGAAGUAUUAGGGGGCUGACCUGGGUUCACAGGUAGGUACUGUUGGACACAAUCUCACAAAACACCAACAUCAAACAAGGGCACUCAGUGAUUGUGAUGAAGUGAGGCAAAAAAAAAAAAAAACAAAAAAACAAGAUCACAAUUUUGUUUAAACACUAAACAAGGUCAGUGUGCAAACCUUAAACUGCAAACAUCCCCCUCUCCCAGCUAAUGAGUACUGCUUCAUUACUUAUUGCAGUUUCAGCUUCACUUUAGUCUGUCCUUUUUCUAGAUAAGAUACCCGAUCAUAGAGUUUUCCCUGCUUCCCUGACAGCCCCCAGUUUAGAGUGGAGCUCUAUUUCCUCGAACCGUCUCCAAACUCAAUGGAAGUCCAAGUCAUAUAGGUCCUUUCUAACAUCCUCUUGCAAGACACACACGGUUCCACCUGGUAUCCUCUCUCCAUCAUCACCAAGAGCGUUAAAUCCACCCAAUUUACUCAACUGUAGGUAUAUUCUUGGUGGUCUUUAGCUGGAGCACAUUAGAAAAUACAUACAACAUCUACAGUUUCCCAAAUCUACCUCUUUAGAGAUACUUGGCAAAAAAAAAAUAAUAAUAAAGUUAGCUCGUCAGAGUUUGGCUAGGAAUUCAUGUUGGUAUCUAUGAUCACAUUUGUCUAAAUGCUCAUAAACCAUCUCUUUAAUAAUCCAGAAUUAUAUCAGAAAAUCAACAUUAAGCUUAUCAAUGUGUGGCUUCUAGAACCCACAAACAGUAUUUCAGUAUUUGCCCAUUUCAGUCUUUAGCGCCCCCUCCCCUUUUUAAAAUGAAUGACUGGCCGUGACUCAGCCCGUCUCCAAUCCCAGGAUAUACUGAACGACCCACCAAACAAGAGCAAGAGGUAGCACGAGAUGUGCUGGGAUCCCUUUCUUUACCCCCAAGUCCACUGUCCCCCUAGACUGUUCCCCUGAGUUCUUUCCCCUACCCCAGCCAUGAGCUGAGGAGGAACUGAGGUUUGGCUACUGGGACCCUUGGCCUUACUGGCUCUUCACUGGGUUUAAAACCUCUGUGGUCUUAUGUGGAAGCAGAGGGAAGUAAGGGACGAACCCUGUGGCUUAUGUCCCCAGAAGAACUCUCCUUUCCCCAGCACCUCUUAAGCCUUGAAGGCUUACGGUGCUGGGAACUGAGAAAAGGAUGCGGUAGAAGGGACGCUGCUGUCAACGACUCGGAGAGGAACUGCCACCUGCCCUGCCCUGUUGACACAUAUCCCAUUCCCAUUUCCCAGCACAUCCACCCUCCUUAGUACCUGCCCCCCUAAAUGACCCUGGGAGCCCUGGUUACUAAGGCAACCUGGGAAUAGUACAUGCAGAUAGAAACCAGAAUGGAUGGGACUGUUUUUAAACUAGAUGAGGUGGCUCCAAUGGUUUUACCCCAUAAAGUACCUUCCCUGAAGCCCCAUCUGAUCUUGCUCUGGGCCCCUACCCUUCUUCACUGGCCUUCAUCCAUCCUCACCCAAGCUCUGUGAGAGUGGGGUCUUUAUUCCAUUUUGGCAUAGCAUCUAUUUACUGCUCCCAUCUUCCACACAGGAUAUCUAAGCAAGUUUUCACUGCCUCCUUUGUCAAAAAUAACUUUUUUUUAUUUCUUUGGAACGUGGUUGACCCUGCCCUCUGGAUGUCCAGGUCAAGCCAAGGUAAUGAAUGCUCCCCUAGUCUCUGGGCUGGAGUACUAUGGUCCCCAUCUUCCCACGGGCCCAGAAACAGUUCCUGUAUUAUCCAACUCAACUAGGCCCCAAACUGUCUGAAGGCUCCUAUCAGGCCUUCUCUCCUGGCCACCCACUUCCUAUUCUUUCCUGGCUUCCCCUCUGGGCAGGGUAUUUUUUUCUUCCAAAGCCAGUGCUGGAACCUGUGCUGUGCAGAAAAGAGGACAAGACCAAGGAUGUCCCCUAAAUUCCCAUCAGAGGACACACAGCCCCUCAGUCAGUCCUUCAUCUGUUGCCCUCCGUCUGUACUCCUAUGCAAGCCCUCUGAGGCUUGAAGAAGACGGACAAGAGGACCCUCAUAAAAGCCAUCCUCGUCCUCCUUGGAGCCAUGGAUGAAUCGGCAGUUAGGGCGGCUACACUCCUUGUUCUGGAAGUCAUGGCAGAAGAUGAAC